rnacentral:tRNA from 1 species
GGGGCGGUGGCGGAAUGGCAUACGCUGUGGACUUAAAAUCCACUGGGGGCAACCCCAUGAGGGUUCGAAACCCUCCCGCCCCA